GUGAAGUCAUUUACUAGUAAGUAAAUUUUUUAUUUUCUCGCAAUUUUCCGCUGUUAGAGAACGUUCAUUUUUUGAAAACAAUAAUUAUUAAUCGUCUUUGGAAGCAGAUCAAUUUCGAUUGGAAAAAUGUCAAAGAUACUAUUUGGAUUUAUUGCCGUUCUUGUUGUUAUUGCAAUGAUGCAAGUCACUGUCGAAGCUUGCUCGGGCGGUGGAGGUCGAUCACCGACGAAUUCUUGCAGUCCCUUUGGAUCAUCGUGCUCAAGUUCUAACGAUUGCUGUUCAGGAACCUGCCGCCAGCAAGCACGUGACGAAUAUACUAACUCGUGGGGACAAGAACAUCAUACCGUCUAUUAUUCUGAAUGUGAAUGAUAAUAAUACUUUUCGAGAUAUGUUCCUUAAGGAUCUAAGCCAUUGUCACUGAAAGAAAAAAACAAUUUAAUUCCAGAAAAUCUGUUUACAGUCGAACUCCAUUAACUCGGACUCCAUUAUCUCGGAACUUCCUCUCAAUCUUGACCCCCACUACGAGCUACGCAGUCUCCCACCCGAUACUAUACAUUUGUAUGUCUCUGUCUAUAUUUAUCUAUAUAUUAUUCAUGUAGAUGUAAGAGCGCAUACGUUAUAGUUUCCUUUUAAGGAAGAAGGGGCAUCCGUUGACUCGGAAAUU